CGUGUUUUAAAGUUGGUCGGCAGUUUUUGUGCAUUUUUAUUACUUAAGUAAUUCAAGUAAUGCUAAGUUGUUUUUUAUUCCAGUACCUUUCAGCAUUUGACACCUAGGAGUCCAGUUCGGUGAUUCUGCUUUUUUCUUUUUUUGUAACUGAUACAGAGGUUUCUAUUUUGUUGUUUUGUUAUACAUACAGAGUAAUUCAUGCCCGAGAAUGUGGACCAAGUCUGUGUACGGCCCGAGAGCAUUCUCUGAUGCUCUAACAGAGUUGUUGCCAAAGCUUGUGCUUUGUUUCUAAU